UACGUAGGGGGCUAGCGUUGUUCGGAAUUACUGGGCGUAAAGCGCGUGUAGGCGGGCCGUUUAGUCGGGGGUGAAAGACCAGAGCUCAACUCUGGAAUUGCCUACGAUACUGGCGGCCUGGAGCAUGAUAGAGGCGAGUGGAAUUGCGAGUGUAGAGGUGAAAUUCGUAGAUAUUCGCAGGAACACCAGUGGCGAAGGCGACUCGCUGGAUCAUUGCUGACGCUGAGACGCGAAAGCGUGGGGAGCAAACAGG
rnacentral:rRNA from 1 species